AUACCCACCAUCCGAACUGAGUCUUGCUAAAGAAAUAGAUUAAUAAGAUCUUGAAGUUGCUUUCUGAUUUCUAGCCCUUGCUUUAAGAUAUUCGUAUUCUUUACUUAUGGGUUCUGGAACUCUAGCUCUUUCAAACUCACUCCGGAGCACCCCUCAACUAGAAAGUCAUCAUGGAAUUCAAAAGGUCAUUCAGCUCCCUUACCCGCCUUGUAAAACUUCCUCAACUCCUCUUUCGCUUGCUUACUUUGGACUUUGUAUCCUGACUUACGCCCUUGCUUCUGGAAUUAAGUUCAGAGAGAUGAGAUGAUAUCCUUUCACUGCGCCUACCAACGGAGAUUCAAGUAUUUAUAUGGACGUGUUUGCUUCUCGAGAUUCUCUUCUACUUCUGUAUCUGUGUAUGAUUAAACUCACACUGCU
rnacentral:lncRNA from 1 species